GCUCUUGAUAUUUUGUUCCUCGUUGAAUUUUGUGACGAAAGAUCCAAGGGCAUCCUUCGAGUGCUUGAUUUUGGAUAAUCUGAUUUGGAGUCUUGGAGUUGUGAGACAUUUAGAUCAGGAGUAGAGGUCAGUGACGGAUAGCUUAGCAGGGAUCGUUGGGCCACCGUCAAUCUUCUUAGCAUGUAAUAAGUCCCGUUUGUUGUGGGCAUAGUUUUUAUUUGAUUAAAUUUGUAGCAAUUGUGCAAGACACUUAGUUAUUUCUUUUAGUGUUGAACUCCAUUCUUGUUUCUAGCCUUUGCUCUCUGUUAGACUUUUUUUUUUGUGAUUUAUUGAAAACAGGUUUUGAACCCUUACA